CAUUAUUUGUACAUGUAUACUAACCCGAAAUGGAUUCUUGAGCCAUAUUGAUAUUGUCAACGGUGAAAUCAGAGUGCUAAAGGUGGUGUGGCUUUGGAAAUAUCAACAACAAAAGAGAGAGAGAGAAUUAAAGAGAGCAGAGUGGAAGAGGGGUUUAUGAAGUUGACAAGAAAGAAAAAUCAAUAAACGUGCUAGAUCUCCUGUUUCUUGCCACCCCUUACUACCUUUUGCUGACACGGCAUAAAAUGUAUCUCAAUUUUCAGCUUCUGAAAAUUUACUGUACAUCAGUAUUUUCUUUACGACAUCUUAAUGAAAUCAGAGUCUUUGCAUAGUCAAUAGUUUAACGGAAUAAUCUUGUCUUCAAUCCAAUUUAGAGCCUGUUUGAAUGGG